rnacentral:rRNA from 1 species
GUGCCAGCCGCCGCGGUAAUACGGAGGGUGCAAGCGUUAUCCGGAUUUACUGGGUUUAAAGGGUGUGUAGGCGGGUAUUUAAGUCAGUGGUGAAAUCUCCGGGCUCAACCUGGAAACUGCCAUUGAUACUAUUUAUCUUGAAUUCUGUUGAGGUGGGCGGAAUAUGUCAUGUAGCGGUGAAAUGCAUAGAUAUGACAUAGAACACCUAUUGCGAAGGCAGCUCACUGGCCCGGUACUGACGCUGAGGUGCGAAAGCGUGGGGAGCAAACAGGAUUAGAAACCCUGGUAGUCC